rnacentral:lncRNA from 1 species
UUGAAAUUAAAGUAGGUUUUGGUAGAAAGGGGUUUGAAAAGAAAGUUACUGGUGUUAAUAGUCCCACUCUUUUUUUUUAACCACCUAGGCUUGGCUCAAAAAAUAGAAGGAUUUGAAUAUGCUUUUAUUAUUAUUAUUAUUAUUGAGUCAAUGUGCUGUCAAAAUUUAAAAUAACGUGUAAUGGGAUAACCCAAUAAACUAUCAUAAAAUUUUUGGUGCAUAGUAAAAUUAACCUUGCUUAAGUCGCUAUUAAUUUAUAAUCACAAAGCACAAUUAAAACUUAUUUAUGAUUUAAAUAAUGAAAUAUAUUAUCUUUUGAGCCUUCAUUGAGGUGCCCAAAGAAUAUUGGCAUUGACAAGGCAAAGCAAAGCAUAUAUCAUCUACACACAAAAUAAACAAUUUUUAUUCUUCAAGUGGGUCCAAAAAGCAUGAAAUUUUUACGACAAAACACACUAUAGUGAUAAAUAUUAUGGUAAUAAAAUUAUUGAGGUUAGCAAGAUAGAGAUAGAUAUGAUUAUUGAUUCAAUUUAUGAAUAGAUUUAGAGGGUUUGGUAGGCCAACAAAGAUUUAUAUAUAUAGAUAAGGCAGGGUGACAUUACUUGUGACGUUUGCCUUUAUUUUAGUUUAAGUGGUUACAUAGUAGAUGACCUUAUUUUAAGUUUAGGGUCGCUUAUUUAGGGUAACUAAAUUAGUUUUAGUUUUUCUCUUUUAAUAUCUCUGUUACCAUAAGAUGUUCAAUCAAGGAUAAGAAAUGGGUUAGGUUAGCUCUUUGUAGGGAUGCACCACCCAAGAUUAUAAUAGCAAUAUUAGAGAUACUAUGCUAGUCAACAAUAAAGGGUGAAAAUUAAGUAAAUUAUAAAUUUAAAUAUAAUAUCCUCAAU